UGAAAUUUUUGUUAUGAAUAUUUUACUAUUAAAAUUUAUCGCAUACCAUAUUUCGCGCCACAUAGUCAUCAUACAUAGUCAUAAAUACAGCCACCAGAUGGAGCAAUUGAGCUUGCCAUUGCACGUGGUCACUCUAUGUAUACUACAACCAUUGGAUUAAGACCACUGUUGUUUUAUACAAUAAUAUUUCAUAAGUUUUGAAAAUAGCAAAAUGAUUGAAAACCUCAGAAUUAUAGCAAUAACUUAACAAUAUAUCAAUGGAAUACUCUGAUAUCGAGGAUAAUGAAUUCUAUAACUCAAAGUGAACCAAAAGAAAAUGAAAUUGGACAAUGAAGAUGUGAAUCGGUGCUUUCAAGUUCUGAAGAUGAAAAUGAAACUACAAGAUCAUCAAAAUGAAAUUGUCGCAGAUAAGACCAGUUGGGAAAAAAUACAAGAAGAAUCUACUCCUGAAAGAUAACCACUUCAUAAUAUUUUCAGAAACAUAUCUGGUCCUACAAAAUAUGGCAACAAAAAUAUUAUGAUAAGUAAAGUAAAUAGUGCAUUUUAAUUAUAAUAAUUGACGACCAUAUACUUAAACAUAUCUUGCGUGGAAUUUGAAGCUUUUUGAAAAAUGAACCUUAAUAAAAACAAAAUUAAAAGCUUUCAUUCUUGCACGAGGAGCAUACGAAAAAAUUGAAAAUUUUCAUAUUUAUGGGACAGAAAUAUAUAGAAAAAUAUAGAAAUUUAUUCGCUCUGAUAAAAAAAAAGUGAUAGAAAUCAAUGUUUACAAAGUGAUAAAUUUAUAUUAGCUAUAUGAAAUAGGUUUAUUAAAAAUAGUCAGAAUUAUUAUAAAUCAAGAGCAAAUAUUAUAAUUGACAAACAAUUCUUUCCAUCUAAAGCCAGAUCAAGAUUUACUCAAUAUUUACCGUAUAAACCCGACAAAUUUGAUAUUAAAUUUUGGUUGGCAUCUGAUGUUCGAAUUAAGUAUUAUUGUAAAUGAAUUUCCUUAUUUAGAAAGGUAUGAAACACGAGUAACAUCAUAACCUCUAAAUGAAAUUGUCAUACUCAAACUUACAGAACCGUAUAAUAUGAAGGAAAGAAACAUAAUUGACAAUUUUUUUAUAAGCUUAUCGCUGGCAUCUAAAUUAUUAUCAAAAAGAACCACAGUGAUUAGCGCUAUAUGCAGAAACAAAAGGGAACUAUUAAAAAUUUCUAAAACAAAGGAUACUAUGAGUCUUUUUUUAUCGCUAUUUUAUAGAUCAAAUGGAAUUAGUCUUAUAAUUUAUUAAUGCAGAAAAAAAAAGUUUUUGUAUUAAGUUCGAAACAUAAAUCUAUCAGAAUUGGAAAAACUAAGAAGCGCUUAUCUGAAAUGGUUAAAUUUUAUAAAACUAAAUUUAACGAAAAAAUUGUAGAUCAAAUGAUAAAGUAAUAUAGCGUCAAAUCAGGAUUAAAAAAAUAACCAUUUCAAGUAUUUUUCAACAUUUUAGAUUUAUCUGGCAUAAAUGCCUGGAUCUUAUAUAAGGAAAUAACAGCUAAAAAGAUAUCUAGAAAAUAUUUUAUGUUUCAACUAGCAGAUGAACUUGCCACUGAAAAUGCAGUUGAAAAUGUAAAACCAGGGAUGGAAUUAUAAGAA